rnacentral:rRNA from 1 species
AGCGAACGCUGGCGGCAGGCUUAACACAUGCAAGUCGAGCGCCCGUAGCAAUACGGGAGCGGCAGACGGGUGAGGAACACGUGGGAACGUACCCUUCAGUUCGGAACAACCCAGGGAAACUUGGGCUAAUACCGGAUAAGCCCUUACGGGGAGAGAUUUAUCGCUGAAGGAUCGGCCCGCGUCUGAUUAGCUAGCUGGUGAGGUAAUGGCUCACCAAGGCGACGAUCAGUAGCUGGUCUGAGAGGAUGAUCAGCCACACUGGGACUGAGACACGGCCCAGACUCCUACGGGAGGCAGCAGUGGGGAAUAUUGGACAAUGGGCGCAAGCCUGAUCCAGCCAUGCCGCGUGAGUGAUGAAGGCCUUUAGGGUUGUAAAGCUCUUUCGUCAGGGAAGAUAAUGAC